rnacentral:rRNA from 1 species
UGGGGAAUUUUGGACAAUGGGCGCAAGCCUGAUCCAGCCAUGCCGCGUGCGGGAAGAAGGCCUUCGGGUUGUAAACCGCUUUUGUCAGGGAAGAAAUCUUCUGAGUUAAUACCUCGGGAGGAUGACGGUACCUGAAGAAUAAGCACCGGCUAACUACGUGCCAGCAGCCGCGGUAAUACGUAGGGUGCAAGCGUUAAUCGGAAUUACUGGGCGUAAAGCGUGCGCAGGCGGUUUUGUAAGACAGAGGUGAAAUCCCCGGGCUCAACCUGGGAACUGCCUUUGUGACUGCAAGGCUUGAGUGCGGCAGAGGGGGAUGGAAUUCCGCGUGUAGCAGUGAAAUGCGUAGAUAUGCGGAGGAACACCGAUGGCGAAGGCAAUCCCCUGGGCCUGCACUGACGCUCAUGCACGAAAGCGUGGGGAGCAAACAGGGUUAGAUACCCUGGUAGUCCACGCCCUAAACGAUGUCAACUGGUUGUUGGGAAGGUUCCUUCUCAGUAACGUAGCUAACGCGUGAAGUUGGACCGCCUGGGGAGUACGGCCGCAAGGUUGAAACUCAAAUGAAUUGACGGGGUCAUAGCUGUUUCCU